rnacentral:sRNA from 1 species
CGCUUGCCCCGCGUUAAGGAUGGAAAUGGCAUCCUUUUUUACGUAAGUUGGUGGUGUUGUGAAGCAUGAGCAACGCCCAAACCAACUAGUAAAAAAGAUAUAAUGGACAGCCUGACGCACG